rnacentral:rRNA from 1 species
UUGGAGGGCAAGUCUGGUGCCAGCAGCCGCGGUAAUUCCAGCUCCAAUAGCGUAUAUUAAAGUUGUUGCAGUUAGAAAGCUCGCAGUUGAAUUUCGGGAUCAAUUUGCCGGUCGAGACCUCUGGUACGUACUUGUAUUAUUGAUUUCUUUCAUUCUGAUAAAUCAUUGAUGUCAUUAAUUUGAUGACUUUGAGGAAUCGGAACUUUUACUUUGAAAAAAUUAGAGUGUUUAAAGCAGGCUCAUUAGGCUUGAAUACAUUAGCAUGGAAUAAUGAAAUAGGACGAUUGAUCCUAUUUUUGUUGGUUUCUAGGAUUGACGUAAUGAUUAAUAGGGAUAGUUGGGGGCAUUAGUAUUCAAUUGUCAGAGGUGAAAUUCUUGGAUUUAUUGAAGACUAACUACUGCGAAAGCAUUUGCCAAGGAUGUUUUCAUUAAUCAAGAACGAAAGUUAGGGGAUCGAAGACGAUCAGAUACCGUUGUAGUCUUAACCAUAAACUAUGCCGACUAGGGAUCGGAUGAUGUUAAUUUUUUCUAAUGACUCAUUCGGCGCCUUACGGGAAACCAAAGUGUUUGGGUUC